GGCUUAGUAGCUCAGUGAUUACACGUUUAGGCUUGAGACCAAGGGGUCCCGGGUUCGAAUCCUGGCUAGGGCA